CUAACGCCCAGUCCCGCAGAACUGUGUUCAGGCUUUGGCUCCCCCGCUCAUCUGAAGUCGAAAAUAUAACUAAUGUUUUCACUGAAUUCUUAACGAAAUAUUUAUAGUAGAUCGUUAAAAAAGGAACUCCACCACUCUGCAGUCGAUGUCUGAUCCUUGCAAAUGUUUACAUUGCAUCUAUCUAUAAAGGUCAGAAAUAUGAAGACUGGUCAUAAAGUUAUGUUUUCAUCAGCACUGUAACUGAAUGGUUGCUAAAUGAGACAGUCACAAAACAAGGACUACUUCUAAUAGCAAUUUUGUGUGAGAGGUGCCUCAGGACUGAUUCCUAGUGACUGCCUGGGCAAAUCCGUGCAGUUUCCUUGGUGUCCCCAAUUUCCAGUCCGUGGACUAGUACCAGGUAUGCCAGAAAUUGGUUCUCACAAACAAAGCCCUGUCCGCGGGAUGCAGACAGCAUGUGAAACCAUGACCUCUCUGGUCCCUGGAAAAAUCUCUUCACAGAACCGGUCCCUGGUACCCAAAAGGUUGGGGGCCACUGUCCUAGAAUAUAUUUCUCUAUAGCUCAAAAAAUUAUAAAGCAUUUAGAAAGGCACAUGUUGAUAGAUUUCAAUAAAUAUUACUAUGUUUUACCUUUUUUAUAUUGAAGUAACAUUUUUUUAAAUAAAGCUGUGUGAUUUACA